CCUCCUCCCAAGCCCAUCCCUCCUCCCCGACCCAUGCCGCCGCCGACCCUCUCCGCCCUCGAUAGUGCCCUCCACCGCCGAAUCGUGCAACCUCCACUGAUUUUAAUGGCGGCGGUGCAUCGAGGUCAACGUCGCCUCCCUCCACUCGCAUCUGGUGUGCGAGGUCAACAUCGCCAUCGGGAUUGGUCAACGCCGUCGGUGCAUCUAGAUCGACGCUUGCCUCCAUCCCCAGCACCAGAUCCCACGACAGCACCAGGCCUCUCCAUCGUUCUGCAAGCCCACCGACAACAAGCACAAGAGGAAGCAGUGCUUCUUGGCUCCUCUACUGUCUCUGUGUUGUCGCGCCACCACCAUGCUGAUGCGCCCUACACCCCCAUGGACCUCCAUCUGACAAGGACGGGCGGGUUUCCUCCACCCUGAUGGCGAGCGCAGUGCGUGCCCCUCACUGCUACAGGCUACUCAGAUCCAGCAAGGUGGAAACCAGAUGCAAGUUCUAUAUUUGUUUCUUCAUCGGUACCAUCUUAUUUGUUCAGGUUGGCAUCACAUUGGAAGAUCUUUUGGUCACCAUGUAGUUGAGCUAGUCAACUAGAAUGUCUACAUGGUUAUUCUUAUGUUCACGGUGACAACACAAUCAAGUGAUGCGUGGCUAAUAUGUGAUCUUUUAAGCAUUGCAAGUUUGGUGACUCUUCGGCCGGAGACAUGUGGACCUCUUAGAAUAACGUAGUUUCACAUGAUGGCGGCGAAUUGGUAUUUAGAACAUCUCAUGAAUAUGGCAAUGCCAUUCGAGAAACGACUGAGCAGAAAUAUACAAAAGUGUAAACAUGCCAUUGUUUCCUAGACAUAGUUGUAGCCAUAAGUCAAGCUCAAACAGUUUUUAGCUUAGUUUGGAGACAUAACGUCUUAUUGUCUCAUGUAAAUUAUGUUUACCGAUGUGGCUGGUUGCUACUGAACAGAUCUAUGGAUGUUGAAAUUUUCAA